rnacentral:rRNA from 1 species
AUGAACGCUGGCGGCGUGCUUAACACAUGCAAGUCGAACGAACCUUCGGGUUAGUGGCGGACGGGUGAGUAACGCGUGAGAAUCUGCCCUCAGGAGGGGGAUAACGGCUGGAAACGGCCGCUAAUACCCCAUAUGCCGAGAGGUGAAAUGAAUUUCGCCUGAGGAUGAGCUCGCGUCUGAUUAGCUAGUUGGUGUGGUAAAGGCUCACCAAGGCUUCGAUCAGUAGCUGGUCUGAGAGGAUGAUCAGCCACACUGGGACUGAGACACGGCCCAGACUCCUACGGGAGGCAGCAGUGGGGAAUUUUCCGCAAUGGGCGCAAGCCUGACGGAGCAACGCCGCGUGAGGGAUGAAGGCCUCUGGGCUGUAAACCUCUUUUAUCAAGGAAGAAGAUCUGACGGUACUUGAUGAAUAAGCCACGGCUAAUUCCGUGCCAGCAGCCGCGGUAAUACGGGAGUGGCAAGCGUUAUCCGGAAUUAUUGGGCGUAAAGCGUCCGCAGGCGGUUUUACAAGUCUGUUGUUAAAACGUGGAGCUCAACUCCAUUUCGGCGAUGGAAACUGUAAGACUAGAGUGUGGUAGGGGCAGAGGGAAUUCCCGGUGUAGCGGUGAAAUGCGUAGAUAUCGGGAAGAACACCAGUGGCGAAGGCGCUCUGCUGGGCCAUAACUGACGCUCAUGGACGAAAGCCAGGGGAGCGAAAGGGAUUAGAUACCCCUGUAGUCCUGGCCGUAAACGAUGAACACUAGGUGUCGGGGGAAUCGACCCCCUCGGUGUCGUAGCCAACGCGUUAAGUGUUCCGCCUGGGGAGUACGCACGCAAGUGUGAAACUCAAAGGAAUUGACGGGGGCCCGCACAAGCGGUGGAGUAUGUGGUUUAAUUCGAUGCAACGCGAAGAACCUUACCAGGGUUUGACAUCCUGCGAAUUCCUUGGAAACUUGGAAGUGCCUUCGGGAGCGCAGAGACAGGUGGUGCAUGGCUGUCGUCAGCUCGUGUCGUGAGAUGUUGGGUUAAGUCCCGCAACGAGCGCAACCCACGUCUUUAGUUGCCAGCAUUAAGUUGGGCACUCUAGAGAGACCGCCGGUGAUAAACCGGAGGAAGGUGUGGAUGACGUCAAGUCAUCAUGCCCCUUACAUCCUGGGCUACACACGUACUACAAUGCUACGGACAAAGGGCAGCAAACUCGCGAGAGCUAGCAAAUCCCAUAAACCGUGGCUCAGUUCAGAUCGUAGGCUGCAACUCGCCUACGUGAAGGAGGAAUCGCUAGUAAUCGCAGGUCAGCAUACUGCGGUGAAUACGUUCCCGGGCCUUGUACACACCGCCCGUCACACCAUGGAAGUUGGCCACGCCCGAAGUCGUUACUCCAACCCUUGUGGAGGAGGAUGCCGAAGGUGGGGCUGAUGACUGGGGUGAAGUCGUAACAAGGUAGCCGUACCGGAAGGUGCGGCUGGAUCACCUCCU